UAAUACGGAGGGUGCGAGCGUUAAUCGGAAUUACUGGGCGUAAAGCGCAUGCAGGUGGUUUGUUAAGUCAGAUGUGAAAGCCCGGGGCUCAACCUCGGAAUUGCAUUUGAAACUGGCAGACUAGAGUACUGUAGAGGGGGGUAGAAUUUCAGGUGUAGCGGUGAAAUGCGUAGAGAUCUGAAGGAAUACCGGUGGCGAAGGCGGCCCCCUGGACAGAUACUGACACUCAGAUGCGAAAGCGUGGGGAGCAAACAGGAUUAGAUACCCUGGUAGUCCACGCCGUAAACGAUGUCUACUUGGAGGUUGUGGCCUUGAGCUGUGGCUUUCGGAGCUAACGCGUUAAGUAGACCGCCUGGGGAGUACGGUCGCAAGAUUAAAACUCAAAUGAAUUGACGGGGGCCCGCACAAGCGGUGGAGCAUGUGGUUUAAUUCGAUGCAACGCGAAGAACCUUACCUACUCUUGACAUCCAUAGAACUUUCCAGAGAUGGAUUGGUGCCUUCGGGAGCUAUGAGACAGGUGCUGCAUGGCUGUCGUCAGCUCGUGUUGUGAAAUGUUGGGUUAAGUCCCGCAACGAGCGCAACCCUUAUCCUUGUUUGCCAGCACUUCGGGUGGGAACUCCAGGGAGACUGCCGGUGAUAAACCGGAGGAAGGUGGGGACGACGUCAAGUCAUCAUGGCCCUUACGAGUAGGGCUACACACGUGCUACAAUGGCGCAUACAGAGGGCGGCCAACUUGCAAAAGUGAGCGAAUCCCAAAAAGUGCGUCGUAGUCCGGAUUGGAGUCUGCAACUCGACUCCAUGAAGUCGGAAUCGCUAGUAAUCGUGGAUCAGAAUGCCACGGUGAAUACGUUCCCGGGCCUUGUACACACCGCCCGUCACACCAUGGGAGUGGGCUGCAAAAGAAGUGGGUAGUUUAACCUUCGGGGGGACGCUCACCACUUUGUGGUUCAUGACUGGGGUGAAGUCGUAACAAGGUAGCCG
rnacentral:rRNA from 1 species